rnacentral:rRNA from 1 species
UACGGGGGGAGCAAGCGUUGUUCGGAUUUACUGGGCGUAAAGCGCGUGUAGGCUGCUUCGCAAGUCGGAUGUGAAAGCCCUGGGCUCAACCCAGGAAGUGCAUUCGAAACUGCAGAGCUGGAGUCCUGGAGAGGAAGGCGGAAUUCUCGGUGUAGAGGUGAAAUUCGUAGAUAUCGAGAGGAACACCGGUGGCGAAGGCGGCCUUCUGGACAGUGACUGACGCUGAGACGCGAAAGCGUGGGGAGCAAACAGG